rnacentral:rRNA from 1 species
GAUGAACGCUGGCGGCGUGCCUAAUACAUGCAAGUCGAGCGAACAGACGAGGAGCUUGCUCCUCUGACGUUAGCGGCGGACGGGUGAGUAACACGUGGAUAACCUACCUAUAAGACUGGGAUAACUUCGGGAAACCGGAGCUAAUACCGGAUAAUAUAUUGAACCGCAUGGUUCAAUAGUGAAAGACGGUUUUGCUGUCACUUAUAGAUGGAUCCACGCCGCAUUAGCUAGUUGGUAAGGUAACGGCUUACCAAGGCGACGAUGCGUAGCCGACCUGAGAGGGUGAUCGGCCACACUGGAACUGAGACACGGUCCAGACUCCUACGGGAGGCAGCAGUAGGGAAUCUUCCGCAAUGGGCGAAAGCCUGACGGAGCAACGCCGCGUGAGUGAUGAAGGUCUUCGGAUCGUAAAACUCUGUUAUUAGGGAAGAACAAAUGUGUAAGUAACUAUGCACGUCUUGACGGUACCUAAUCAGAAAGCCACGGCUAACUACGUG